rnacentral:sRNA from 1 species
ACCGUUACCCGGGGCAACAGCUGAGCCGUCUGGGAAGGGAUGCAUCUUUUCUUCUGUAUGCUUGAGUCAAGAACUCUUAAGUCAUCUUGGUAAUACCGGGUUGGAUGCUUAAAGCUGCAGCAAAAAGACCAGAACUUUCAGGGCUUCUCAAAUUUAAUAACUAUGGAAUCUUAUCAGAAAGUCCAUUAACAUCUUAAAGAACAACGUGGUUAUUGUAUCAAUCACCAUCCUUUAUACCAGGAUUUGCAUAUCCUUCAAGAUGCCUGAAGACAAUCGGAGGGGUGUACAAGCAAGCGAGGUUAAGAACAAUCAAUUUUCAGAUCCUAAACUUUUAUAUGUAGUGUCUGCUGAUAAUGCAUUCCCUGAGAAAAUGGACCUGUGGAUAAACCAUCAUGCUUCAUCUCAUUUCCUAUCUCCUCUUUCACCAUUUUUCUUUCUUUUCUUUCUUUUUUUUUUUUUCUUGAGACAAGCUCUUACUCUGUCACCUAAGCUAGAAUGCAGUGGCGUGAUCAUAUCUCACUGCAACCUAAAACUCAGGCUCAAGCAGUACCCUCACCUCAGCCUCCCGAGUAGCUGAGACUAACAGGCACACUCCAUCAUGCCCGAAUAAUUUUUGUUAAUUUUUUGUAGAGAUGAGGUCUUGCUUUGUUGUCUAGGCUGGUCUUGAACGGGGCUCAAGCGAUCCUCCCACUUUGGCCUUCCAAAGUGCUGGGAUUCCAGAUGCGAGCCACCGCACCAGUCCCACAAUUAUUUUUCUAAGGAUGUAUGAAGGAAAGGCAUCUCUCUAGCCUGGUAGAAUCCUACUAUGACAAAAAUGCUCCAGGAAAUAAACAUCUCUUAGGAGCUACACACAGAGACAAGGAAACACUGGUAACUCAAGUAAGAAAGACUAAGGGCUUCGCUAAUUAUUAAGUAAGUAGUGCUUUUGCAAGUCAAGAGACUGUUCUCAGCUUUCAACAAUACUGAAGGAAUACCUAAUUGAGUAGUCUGCUGGUCAUUUAAAAUUAUUUCUUGAUGAUAGGUCACUACGUGAUUGUUAGCAUAUAACGUAAGUUCAAAGAUUGAAAAAAAUUUUCCCAUUUUCAUCUCAGUGUUUACAUCUACAAAAAUGAAGAAUAGGGCUGGGCACAGUGGCUCACGCCUGUAAUCCCAGCACUUUGGGAGGCCAACGGGGGUGGAUCACUUGAGGUCAGAAGUUCGAGACCAGCCUGGCCAACAUGGUGAAACCCCGUCUCUACUGAAAAUACAAAAAUUAGCCGGGCAUGGUGGCAUGCGCCUGUAAUCCCCAGCUACUCGAGAGUCUGAGGCAGGAGAAUUGCUUGAAUCCAGGUGGCGGAGGUUGCAGUGAGCCGAGAUCGUGCCACUGCACCCCAGCCUGGGCAACAGAGCAAGACUCCAUCUCAAAAAAAAGGAAGAAGAAUAGAAUUGUAGCAAUAAGUAAAUUUCAGCCAUGUAUAUACGUGAACUAAUUGAGAAAAUAAAGCUGUCUUCUUAUUAACAG